UUUUUUUUUUUUUUUUUGAGAAAAAAAUAUACGUUUAUUGACAAAUUCGGUGCAUAUUUUCUUGAACACAUUGUCUUUUAAGGACACUGAUUAAGUCACAAUGAGUUCUUAAUCCUUUGUAAUCUCUCUGUUUUCUACUUUGUUAAUCUCUGCCUUAAAUUAAUUUCCUUUUUUCAACUUCCCUUUUGUUUAUCUUGGUAACUUUUUAUUUUAUUUUGCUUUAUCUUAUUUUUAUCAAGGUCGCAUCAGUUUAGUGUGCUAUAUCUUGUUAUAUGGAAGUUCUCAGGCUAGGGAUUCAUGUGGAGCCGCGGAUGUGGGAUCAGAGCCGCAUCUGCAACCUACAACACCACAGCUCAUGGCAAUGGCCAGAUCCUUAACCCACUGAGCGAGGCCAGGAAUCGAAUCUGCAUCCCCAUGAAUAUAGGUUCGUUCCUGAUGAGCCAUGGCGGGAAUGCCCUAGAUUGUUACAGCUUAAUUGAAGUCAAACCCACAGUAGACUUCCUUCUCAGAGAGGCCUUUGCAUAAAAUAUCCAUUAGCUUAAUAAUAUUUAAAUUCCAACUUCCUGAAGCCUGUAAACAUAUUCUCUAACAUCACCUGAGUAUAUAAAAAUAACAUACAAUUAAACAAAUAAUUACUCUAUAGUGUCAGAUACUGUACUUUUAACUCCAGAAAUGAAAGUGGAAAUUUUCCUAGAAAUUCAAAGAGUAAUCAGAUUAUCUGUGUCCUAUUAGAACUGUUUCUUAAAGCACUCCUGUUUUUACCAUUUUGACACAUUUAACAUAUCCUAUCUCUGAAACUUUUGUCAGUUUUGUUUGUCUGGAGAACACUGACUGACACAAUAAUCAAUCUUAUGUACUUGGAUAGCACUAGUUCAUUUAACCAAAAAUGGUUAAACAGCACCUACAUAGCAAAUACCAAGAUGGAUAAAAUCCCUUCUAUGAGACAAUAAGAUUUACUGUAUAGCACAGGGAACUAUAUUCAAUAACUUGUAAUAACCUAUAAUGGAGCAGAAUCUGAAAAAGAAUAUAUAGAUAUCUAUUUAACUGAGUCACUUUGCUGUACCCCUAAAACUAACACAAUACUGUAAAACAGCUAUACUUUGAUUUUUAAAAAAUCCCUUCCAUAUGGCUCUCCUAUUUUGGAGGGAAGAAACAAAAAUGAUUAAGCAUAUUAAUUUAUAACAGGCAGAGGCAAAGCAAGGCAAGGAAACAGAGUGACAUAAGAAGGGCUGUAUUGGAGUUCCCUGGUGGCUCAGUGGGUUAAGGAUCCAGUGUUGUUAAUGCAAUGGUCCCGGUCACUGCUAUGGUUCGGGUUCAAUCCCAGGCCUGGGAAUUUCUGCAUGCUGCAGAUGCAUCCAAAAAAAAAAGAAAGAGAGAGAAAGAAUUGAUUGGCCAAUCAUUUAAAAAAAAAAAAGAAGAAGAAGAAGAAGAAGAAGGGCUCCAUUGAACAGGGCGCUGAGAAGGCCAGAAAUUAGUGGUAUUUGAGCGCCAUCUGUAUCAAGCAAUGGCAGGGCUUGCAGGUACCUGGAGGAAGACUGUUCCAACAGGUGGAAUGGGAAAACCCAAGGCCUCGCAGACAGCUGCCAGUGACUGGCCAGGGCAUUGUCACUGCAUGCAGUCCCAAGGGUGCUUUGAUCCUGGGGAGACUACUGCACUGGGCCCAGUCAGGGCUCAGGUCCUAUCACUGUCACCCAGUCAUUUGAUCUUCUGGCCCCUGAUGCCUUCUGGAAAAGGUGAGGGCUUAGGACCAGAUCAUCGUUUCCUGUCCAAAACACCCACAGUGCCAGCUCUGCAUCCGCCCCCAGCAGUUUCCAAUGUACAAAUAAAGCCUCUGAGGAACAUUCCAGCAAAGGAACCUGAAUGACUUUAUUUAACCCAAUGUUACCAAACUCACUUGGUCUCAAAAACGUGUUUCUACUAUUAAUUGAACUUGGGUUAGUUGAAAAUACUUUUAGGAGUUCCCGUUAUGCCUCAGUAGAUUAAGAGGAUCAGCUGGUCCCCAUAGGACCCAUGAGGAUGCGGGUUUGAUCCCCGGCCUUAUUAAGGAUCUGGCAUGGCCACAAGCUGUGGCAUAGGUUGCAGACGUGGCUCGCAGCUGGCAUUGCUGUGGCUGUGGCAUAGGAAUGCCAGAUCCAAGCCACGUCUGCACCCUACACCACAGCUCGCGGUAAUGCGGGAUCCUUAACCCACUGAGCAAGACCAGGGAUCGAAUUCGCAUCCUCCUCAUGGAUACUAGUUGGGUUUAUAACUGCUGACCCAGUUCCAGAAAAGAGCAUUCUAGAAUGGACCUGAUUGACUUUCUUUGAAAGAAAUGCUUUGUGGUGAUAACACCACUGUAAAACUCAGGGUUUGCAUUGUGCAGUAGUGGUGAAACCCCUAUAAAGUUGACCUGUGUUAAGAUAUAUACAGAAUGGCAUUUACUGCAUAAAUUUGUUUGUUUGUUUGUUUUCUGGCCAGCCAUUGUGAAUUUAUGCUCUGCUCAUGACAAGGGAAACCAGAGGUGCAUGAAUGGAUUAGAGCAAUUUCUUCCUCCUUCUUUCCCCAGAAGCUAUCUGAGCACUUAGGAUGGAUGAGGGCUCUGUUGGCUGAAAACGCAAAUCUGCUAAAUGCCCUGGGACCACCAGCCUCCAUACAACAGACAACAACAUUGCCACCUUGGAACACUUGUUUCCAAAACUUGAGAACUUGAUAAAGAAGGCAGAGCCAGUAAAAAGGAGAUCAGUGGUUAUAACCAUCAACCUCACAAGUGGAAAAAAUAUAAAAUAAAUUUUCAAGUAAUGACUAAGCUAUAAGGAAAUUUGCAAGUUUUUUAUUUGAAAAUUAGAAUUUGUUUAGAUUCAUUGCAGCACUAUUCAUAAUAGCCAAGACAUAGUAACAAUCUCUGUCCAAUUGACAGAUGAAUGGAUUAAGAAUAUGUAGUAUAUAUACUCAAUGGAAUACUACACAACCAUUAAAAAGAACAAAAUAAUGCCAUUUGCAGCAACAUGGAUGCAACUAGAGAUUCUCAUACUAAGUGAAGUAAGUCAGAAAGAGAAAGACAAAUACCACAUGAUAUCACUUAUAUAUGGAAUCUAAAAUAUGGCACAAAUGAAUCUAUCUACAGAACAGAAACAGACUCACAGACCUAGAGAACAGACUUAUGGUUGCAAGGGGGAGGGGCAGGUAGUGGGACAACUGGGAGUUUGGGGUUAGUAGAUGCAAACUAUCAUUUAGAAUGGAUAAGCAGUGAGGUCACUUGUGAUAGGACAUGAUAGAAGAUAAUUUAAGAAAAAGAAUAUGUAUAUUUCUUGCUGUACAGCAGAAAUUGACAGAACAUUAUAAAUCAACUAUAAUAAAAUACUGGGGGAAAAAAACAUUUGCUUAGAAAGAAAGUUCACCUAAAAGGGUGAGGAAGCCCUUCAUCAUUUCUGCAAUUCAUAUAACAUUAAAUAUAAAAAUCUAAUGUUUCAGCCCUGUAUGAGAACACUUUAGUUUUCAAACAACCACCAUAUGGGUCUACCUAGCAUUCAUUACCUAGCUAAAGAUAUUUAUGAGUAGCUGUAAAAACAAGCUGGGGAAUUCCUGUUGUAGCUUAGCAGAAAUGGAUCCAACUAGUACCAUGAGGCCGCAGAUUUGAUCCCUGGCCUUGCUCAGUGGGUUAAGGAUCUGGCCUUUGCCCUAAGCUGUGGUGUAGGUCGCAGAGGCAGCUUGGAUCCUGUGUUGCUGUGGCUGUGGUACAGCUCGGUGGCUGUAGCUCUAAUUCGACCCCUAGCCUGGGAACCUCCAUAUGCCCCAGGUCAGGACCUGAAAAGCAAACAAACAAAGGAACAACCACAACAAAAAAACCAAGAUGAUAAAUUUUACUCCAUAUGCAAAGGGUCAUUUGUCCUACUAAUGUUUAACAAUAAAGUAUGAAUACAUGGAAGUCCAGAAUAGAGUGUAUUUAAUGAAAAUCUUUAAAUUAGAAUGCAUCAUAAACAUUUUGUCCAAAUUAUCAAAAUUCAAAUUAGAUGUGUUAAACUCUGUGAGCAUUUCCUAUGCUUUAAACAUAUUGCAAAACUGGCAGCUUUAAACAUAUUGCAAAACUGGUUUAAAACAAUUAGAAAUGCAUUGUCUCACAGUUCUGGAGAUUAUAACUUCAAAACUGUCAGUAGGACCAGUCUCUCUCUGACACCGGUAGGGGAAGAUCCUUCCUUGCCUCUACUGGCUUCUGGGGUUUGCUGUCGAUCCUUGGUGAUCCUUGGCUUGUAGAGCCACCCUUUGCCUCUGUCAUCACAUGGUCACCUCCUCCCUGUGUGUCUUUGUAUUUGUGUCUCUCCUCCUUAAAAACAUCUCCGUCCUGAUGGAUUAAGGGACCACCUAUACCAGCAUGAUCUCAUCUUAACUCAUUACAUCUGCAACAACCCUAUUUCCAAAUAAAUCCCAUUCUGAGGUCUUGGGAGUUUGGACUUCAGCACAUUUUGCGGGAGGAUACAGUUCAACCCUAACAGUCUAUGCCUCUGACCCUCCAAAAUUCAUGUCCUUCCCACAUGCAAAACCUAUUCACCUGAUUUCUAACAUUUCCAAAUGUCUUAACCAUUCCAGCAUCAACUCUAAGGCCCAAACCUCAUCUAAAUAUCAUUGAUUCGAAAUCCCAAAUUUCACUAUCUACAUCAUCUAAACCAGUACAUGCGUGAUUUAACCUGCGUAGAUGUUUUUCCAUCUUAGGAACUGUAACUGUAAAACCAGAGAAUGAAUUAUCUGCUUGCUGAAUACAAUAUCAGGCAUAGAAUAGACUUUCUCAUUCCAAAAAGACAAAAGGAGAAGGAAAGAGGGUGGGGGGUAACCGGUACCAGGCAAGUCCUAAAAAUUAGCAGGGCACUUUCCAUUAGACUUCGAGGCCUGAGAAUAAUCCACUGUGCCUUGAUGCUCUGGGCCUAAUGGAAGGAUAGCCUCACCUUCUGAGUUCCAGGGGGCCCAUCAUCCCAAGCUUCUGUAUCAUAGCUCUUCCCUAAGAGCCCCUCUUCCUUCACUGCAUGCUGUCUCUGUCCCUUUCAGUCCUGGAUGGUGGUGUUUCUGCUGGUAUGAAGUUCUCAAAAAUCUUGUCAGUCUCCCACAAAGACCCAGGUCAUUAGACAAGAGGGUUUUCUAUGGAGCUUUUCUGGGUAACUCCAUCUCUAUUCCUGGCUUCUAUUGAGAUGGUUGAUUAAAACAAUUAGCUGAAUACCUAAUCUCUUUAGUAAAUGACUUGCCAGCCAGACUCUUGGCCCCAUUUCUCAAGUAUACUCUCUGGAUAGGCGGAGAAUCUUCCAAAUCAUCAAACGCUGGUUCAUUUUUGCUUUUCAGUUCCUUCCUCAAUUUACCUUUCCUCCCACAGUUUCCUAUAAGCAGUGAAAAGAAGCCAAGCCACACCUUCCAUGCUGCUUAGACCUCUCCCAAAAAAAAAAAAAAAAA
rnacentral:lncRNA from 1 species